rnacentral:rRNA from 1 species
AAGACCUUACGCUUUUGGAGCGGCCGAUGUCUGAUUAGCUUGUUGGUGAGGUAAAGGCUUACCAAGGCUUCGAUCAGUAGCUGGUCUGAGAGGACGACCAGCCACACUGGGACUGAGACACGGCCCAGACUCCUACGGGAGGCAGCAGUGGGGAAUUUUGGACAAUGGGGGAAACCCUGAUCCAGCCAUGCCGCGUGAGUGAAGAAGGCCUUCGGGUUGUAAAGCUCUUUCAGCCGGAACGAAACGGUUACGAUUAAUACCUGUAACUACUGACGGUACCGGAAGAAGAAGCACCGGCUAACUACGUGCCAGCAGCCGCGGUAAUACGUAGGGUGCGAGCGUUAAUCGGAAUUACUGGGCGUAAAGCGUGCGCAGGUGGUUUUGUAAGUCAGAUGUGAAKUCCCCGGGCUUAACCUGGGAACU